UGUUAUGUGGCUUAGUUGGUUAAAGCGCCAGACUGGCGAUACAGAGUCGUGGGUAUGAAUCCCAGCAAAACAA
rnacentral:tRNA from 1 species